UAAGGAGUAUUGGUCAAUGGGCGCAAGCCUGAACCAGCCAUGCCGCGUGCAGGAAGACGGCCCUAUGGGUUGUAAACUGCUUUUAUCAGGGAAUAAACCCCCGCUCGUGAGCGGGGCUGAAGGUACCUGAAGAAUAAGCAUCGGCUAACUCCGUGCCAGCAGCCGCGGUAAUACGGAGGAUGCAAGCGUUAUCCGGAUUCAUUGGGUUUAAAGGGUGCGCAGGCGGAUUGGUAAGUCAGGGGUGAAAUCCCACAGCUCAACUGUGGAACUGCCUUUGAUACUGUCAGUCUAGAGUAUAGUUGAAGUGGGCGGAAUGUGUCAUGUAGCGGUGAAAUGCUUAGAUAUGACACAGAACACCGAUCGCGAAGGCAGCUCGCUAAGCUAUAACUGACGCUCAGGCACGAAAGCGUGGGGAUCAAACAG
rnacentral:rRNA from 1 species